rnacentral:rRNA from 1 species
UAAGCGGAGUGUGAAAUCGUGUGGCUCAACCAUACACCCAUACUCUGAACUGCUUAGCUAGAGAAUGGAAGAGGUCGCUAGAAUUCCUGGUGUAGGGGUGAAAUCCGUAGAUAUCAGGAGGAAUACCGAUGGCGUAGGCAGGCGACUGGUCCAUUUCUGACGCUGAGGCACGAAAGCGUGGGAGCGAUCGGGAUUAGAUACCCCGGUAGUCCACGCCGUAAACGAUGGAUGCUA